rnacentral:hammerhead_ribozyme from 1 species
GUACUGAUGAGGAGUCCCAAAAUAGGACGAAACAGCUGUCCAGUAC